rnacentral:lncRNA from 1 species
AAUAUUAGUAUAAAUAACAAAGACCAAAAUAUUUAUACAAGUAUACUAUGAAACUUUCGAGUCUAGAAAAACUUUAAUCCAAAAUUUUUGUUUUAAACUUUUAUCCAAUAAAAGAAAAACUAAAGCAAUACUUAAAACUAAAUAAUCCAAACUUUACUAAGAUAUAUUGUAAAAUUUUACUUUUGUUAAAUUUGACUAAAUCAAAUUCAAAAAUUAAAAAUGUAUCAGUUAUUUGGGAAUUAUAGACCUUUAAAAGAUCCCUUAUUAUUAUUCAGGAAGGGGACGAAGACUCCCUUAAGCAAUUCUGAUGAAAACAAAGAGGGGAUAGGGACAUAUAAAAAAAUACCAAGAAUGGGUACGAAAAUAUCAGUCCCCUUUUCUCCUCUUCUCAUUGUCAUCCCUAGUCUCGCCCACCCUACCAUAAUUUCAUUUCCUUUGAUAUUAUUUCACCAAACCUAAAUUCUAUGUUGUCACUUAAUAUUGUUUUGUAGAAGCCAAGAAUGUUAAAGUUUGAUUUGAACAUGAUAUUUACUAUACUCUGAAGGUAUAGCUAUGCAUAUCUAGUAUUGAAAUGUAAGAGUUUUAAUUAUCUUUUGGCUCACUCCUAGAUAUUUUGCUCACUUAUUCUUAUUCAUCUGUCUAGUACUGUCUCCUGCAAAUGGAACCCUCGCUAGCACCACCACCAUUAAAUUUCAACAGAGAAUUAAUGAUUUUAUCUAUAUUUUUCCAUAUCUCUUGCCGCUGCAGAUCAGCAGCCGUGCAAAAGAAGCAACGUGCAUGUAUCUCGCUCCAUCCUACUGUCUAGAAAAACAAGGCAUGUCACUUUAAUAGCGGCUAAAACAAAUGUAGGAUUAAUUUCCAAAUCUCUCUAGUCUGUGUGUGUGUGUAUUCCCCUUAAUAUUCCUUUUGUUAACCUUUGAAGCAUCACAUCUGUUCUCAGACGAAUGCGCUAACUAUCAAGUGAAAUUGAAUAAGUGUACGAUAAAUGUAACAUCAUAAGUAAUGUUAGUAAUUAAUAAUAGAGUCAUCGUAUAGUAUGGCGCUGUAUGUAAUACAACUGCUUCAACAGUGAAAAAAAACUUGAACAACCGGUAUUUUACUGGUUGUUCAUCUAAUAAAAAUUUGUUUUUAAUGUGAAAAAAAUAAGGAAAUUUAUAAACAAUUAAGAUUAAAAAGAUUUGAGUGAGAAAAAUAUUUUUAAUUUAAAAGAAAGUUAAAAAAAGAGUAAAAUAACCAUGUUCAAAUUCUUUUGAUUAAAUAUCAAUUUAUUAGGUAGACGUUUCAAAUUAAUUUCACAUGUCCCUAAUUUUCGUUAAACUUUCUCAAUAAUUGGUUUAUUUGUUUCCACUUAUCAAUCCACUAGUUUUAUAUACAAUAUUCCUACUAAAUUGGUUAAGUACAAAUAUUUUAGAUUAGAUUACAAGUAAAUUCAUUUCUCGUUGAAUAAGUUCCUAAAUUUGGUUACACUUUAUCCCUUUUUGGUUUAUAUGUUUCAACUAUUAUUUCACAAAUUUUGCGUUCAAUAUUCCAAUUCGUUUGGUAAGAUUUCUGUUAUUUUGGUUAAAUACCAAAACUAUUUUUUAUUGUUAGAUUAGUUCCUGAUUUUGGUUAAGCCUUUUCAUAUUUAAGUUCAUAUGUUUCAAAUUAUUAGCCCACUAGUUUUGUGUUAGGUAUUCCUACUAAGUUCAAUCAAUACUAAUAUUUUAGGUUAGUACCAAGUAAUUUUCAUUUCCCGUUGAAUGAGUUCCCAAUUUUUGUUAGAUUUUCUCGCUUAUUGGUUCAAAUGUUUCAUCUAAUUAUUCCUAUAGUUUUGUGUUGAAUAUUCUCAUUAACUUAGACAUAUUCCAAUUAUUUGGGUUAAGCACCAAAUUUUUUUUUUUGUAAUUUUAUUUUUGGUUAAAUAAGUCCCUAAUUUUGGUUAUACUUUCUUCCAUGUGGGUUUAUAUGUUUCAAUUAUUAUUCCACUAAUUUUACGUUCAAUAUUCCAAUUAACUUGGUAAGAUUUCAUUUAUUUGGGUUAAAUACUAAAAUAAGCUUUUUUUAGUUAAAUUAGUCCCUGAUUUUGGUUAAGCCUUUUCAUAUUUAGGUUCACAUGUUUCAAAUUAUUAGUCCACUAGUUUUGUGUUAGGUUUUCCUAUUAAGUUCGUUCAAUACCAAUAUUUUAAGUUAGUUCUAAUUAAGUUUCAUUUCCCGUUGGAUGAGUUCCUAAUUUUUGUUAGAUUUUCUUGCUUAUUGGUUCAAAUGUUUCAUCUAAUUAUUCCUCUAGUUUUGUGUUGAAUAUUCCCAUUAACUUGAACAUAUUCCAAUUAUUUGGGUUAAGCACCAAAUUUAUUUUUAUAAUUUUAUUUUGUGUUACGUAGGUUCCUAUUUUGGGUUAUAUUUUCUCACAUAUAGUUUUAUAUGUUUCAACUAUUAUUUCACUAGUUUUGUGUUCAAUAUUCCAAUUAAUUUGGUGAAAUUUCAUGCCUUUAGGUUAAAUACCAAAAUUACUUGUAUUACCGGAAACAAUAAUUUUAAUAAGUUGAAUUAUGUUUGAACCCUUACUAUUUUAUAAAAUAUCAACUUACCAUAUAAUACUGAAAAUUUUUUAUUGUAACCAUUAAUCUUUUCUAAUAUUUUGGGUCCAUAAUGUAAUUCCCUUUUAUAUAUAAUUAUAUAUCAUGAGAUCUCUUGAACUUGAUUGUUUAUAUACUUGAGCUUCUAGUCUCUAUACGUAUUUAUUCUCAUUUUGUCAUUUUAUUUGAUUAUUUUUAGUUAUUGUUAAAAUAAAUUAAUGCAUUUAUUUUCAUCUCUCUCUUUACUUUUUAAAAUAAUUUCUUUAAUUUUUCAAAACUUCGACAGUAAAUAAAAAAUAACAUGUAAGAGCGCAUGCAAUUGCUAUGCUUCUCCAAAAAAUAAUUUUAAAAAUUAUGACGGCAUAAGUUUUAAAAAAUAUUUAAGCUAACAAAAAUUGAAACUUUCUUAAUCUAUUUGUGUUGAAUUUUCUUUUUUCUUUUUUUUUUUGGGAUCAAUUACUUUAGGAGAUUUCUCGAACUUGAAUUUAUUUAUACUUAACUUUUAAUCUUUAUAAAUGUUAUGCUCAUUUUAUCAUUCAAUUAAUUUUAUUUAUUUAUCUUUAAACUAAAAUAAAUCAAGAAUUAAGAUUUUUUU